rnacentral:lncRNA from 1 species
GGGAAGGGACAGGCUCCCUCUUUGUCAUGUGUGUGCGUGACACACGCUCUGUCAUGUGUGGCAGGCUGCCCUGGCACACGUGUGCGCGGCGUCUGCGUUAUCCUCUGCAUGCGUGGCAGCUUUGUCAUGUGUGCGCAGGGUCCCUUUAGGCACAUGGAUGUGCGUGUACAGACAUUGCUUUGUCACACAUGUGCGUCCUUUUGUCAUGGAUGGGCGGCUCUCAGUCAUGUGUGUGUUACCCGCUCCAUCCUACGUGUGUGUGUGUGUAUCCUCCGUGCUGUGUGUGUGUGUAACCUCCACCCUAUGUGUGUAUCCUCCAUGCUGUGUGUGUGUGUAACCUCCAUCCUAUGUGUGUAUCCUCCGUGCUGUGUGUAACCUCCAUCCUAUGUGUGUAUCCUCCAUGCUUUGUGUGUGUAUGCUCCAUGUUGUGUGUGUAUCCUCCAUGCUACGUGUGUGUGUGUGUAUCCCCCGUGCUGUGUGUAUCUUCCAUCCUAUAUGUGUGUGUGUAACCUCCAUCCUAUGUGUGUAUCCUCCAUGCUUUGUGUGUGUAUCCUCCAUGUUGUGUGUGUAUCCUCCAUGCUAUGUGUGUGUGUGUGUAUCCUCCGUGCUGUGUGUGUGUGUAACCUCCAUGCUAUGUGUGUGUGUAACCUCCAUCCUAUGUGUGUAUCCUCCAUGCUGUGUGUGUAUCCUCUGUGCUAUGUGUGUGUAUCCUCUACCCUAGAUGUGUGUGUGUAUCCUCCGUGCUAUGUGUGUGCAUCCUCCAUGCUGUGUGUGUAUCCCGUAUGUUGUCUGUGUAUCCUCCAUGCUAUGUGUGUGUGUGUAUCCUCCAUCCUAUAUGUGCGUGUGUAUCCUCCAUGCUUUGUGUGUGCAUCCUCCAUGCUCUAUGUGUAUCCUGUAUGUUGUAUGUGUAUCCUCCAUGCUAUGUGUGUGUGUAUCCUCCAUCAUAUAUGUGUGUGUGUAUCCUCCGCCCUAUGUGUGUAUCCUCCAUGCUAUGUGUGUGUGUGUAUCCUCCACCCUACGUGUGUGUGUAUCCUCCAUGCUGUAUGUGUGUGUGUAUCCUCCACCCUACGUGUGUAUCCUGCAUGCAGUGUGUGUCCUACACCUUAUAUGUGUGUGUAUCCUCCAUCCUAUAUGUGUGUGUAUCCUCCAUGCUAUGUGUAUCCUCCAUGCUUCGUGUGUAUCCUCCAUGCUACAUGUGUAUCCUCCAUGCUGCGCGUGUAUCCUCCAUUCUAUAUGUGUGUGUAUCCUCCAUCCUAUGUAUGUGUGUAUCCUCCAUGCUGUGUGUGUAUUCUACACUCUCUAUGUGUGUGUAUCUUCCAUCCUGUGUGUGUAUCCUCCAUCAUAUAUGUGUGUGUGUAUCCUCCACCCUACGUGUGUAUCCUCCAUCCUAUAUAUGUGUGUGUAUCCUCCGUGCUAUGUGUAGCCUUCGUGCUAUGUGCGUGUGUAUCCUCUGUGCUAUGUGUGUGUGUAUCCUCCACCCUACGUGUGUAUCCUGCAUGCUGCGUGUGUAUCCUACACCCUCUAUGUGUGUAUAUCCUCCAUCCUACGUGUGUAUCCUCCAUUCUCUGUGUGUGUGUGUAACCUCCACCCUACGUGUGUAUCCUGCAUGCUGUGUGUGUCCUACACCUUAUAUGUGUGUGUAUCCUCCGUGCUAUGUGUGUUCUCCACCCUAUGUGUGUGUGUGUAUCUUCUAUGCUGUGUGUGUAUCCUCCAUGCUACAUGUGUGUGUGUAUCCUCCAUGCUGUGUGUGCAUCCUCCGUGCUAUAUGUGUGUGUGUGUGUGUAUCCUCCGUGCUACAUGUGUGUGUAUCCUCCAUCCUGUAUGUGUGUGUGUGUAUCCUCCACCCUAUAUGUGUGUGUGUAUCCUCCAUGCUAUCUGUAUCCUACAUGCUUCGUGUGUAUCCUCCAUGCUACAUGUGUGUAUCCUCCAUCCUAUAUGUGUGUGUAUCUUCCAUCAUAUAUGUAUGUGUGUAUCCUCCAUCCUAUAUGUGUGUGUAUCUUCCAUCAUAUAUGUGUGUGUGUAUCCUCCAUCCUAUACGUGUGUGUAUCCUCCAUGCUAUGUGUGUAUCCUCCAUGCUAUGUGUGUGUGUGUAUCCUCCACCCUACGUGUGUAUCCUCCAUGCUGUGUGUCCUACACCUUAUAUGUGUGUGUAUCCUCCAUCCUGUAUGUGUGUGUAUCCUCCAUGCUAUGUGUGUGUAUCCUCCAUGCUAUGUGUAUCCUCCAUGCUACAUGUGUAUAUCCUCCACCCUACGUGUGUAUCCUCCAUUCUCUGUGUGUGUAUCCUCCAUGCUGCGCGUGUAUCCUAUAGCCUAUGUGUGUGUGUAUCCUCCAUCCUAUGUGUGUGUGUAUCCUCCAUCCUAUGUGUGUGUGUAUCCUCCAUCCUAUAUGUGUGUGUAUAUCCUCCACCCUACGUGUGUAUCCUGCAUGCUGUGUGUGUCCUACACCUUAUAUGUGUGUGUAUCCUCCGUGCUAUGUGUGUGUCCUUCACCCUAUGUGUGUGUGUGUAUCUUCUAUGCUGUGUGUGUAUCCUCCAUGCUACAUGUGUGUGUGUGUAUCCUCCAUCCUAUAUGUGUGUGUGUAUUCUACACCCUAUACAUGUGUGUGUAUCCUCCAUCCUAUAUGUGUAUCCUCCACACUAUGUGUGUAUUCUACACCCUAUACAUGUGUGUGCAUCCUACACCCUAUGUGUGUGUGUGUAUCCUCCAACCUGUAUGUGUGUGUGUAUUCUCCAUCCUAUGUGUGUGCAUCCUCCACCCUACAUGUGUGUGUGCCACCCCAUUCACCCCAAGUUAUGUUCAAACCCCAAACCAAAACCUUGUGGGACAUCACGGACACAGAAAUCACAAUUUCUGCCAGAAAAUCCCCAAAAUCCUCGGGUUCAUUCUUAGCCAUAAUCCCUAAAAACAGGGAUUUUGUGCAUCCUACAUGUGUGUGCAUCCUCCACCCUACAUGUGUGUGUGCCACCCCAAGUUAUAUUAAAACCCCAAACCAAAACCCUGUGGGACAUCACGGACACAGAGAUCCCCAAAAUCCUCGGGUUCAUUCUUAGCCAUAAUCCCUAAAAACAGGGAUUUUGUGCUUCCUACAUGUGUGUGCAUCCUCCACCCUACAUGUGUGUGAUCCAUGAUCCCAGCCAAGUUCUGUUCAAACCCCAAACCAAAACCCUGUGGGACAUCACGGACACAGAGAUCCCCAAAAUCCUCGGGUUCAUUCCCUAAAAUCCAGGGAUUGGGGUUGUUUUUGUGCUGUUAUAUCUAAAAUUCAGCCACUUUUCCUGCUGCAAAUUUGGGACGCUGAGGUUAACGCGCCGUUGCGCCGCCUGGCCAUUUCAAUAUUUGAUAAAUCCCCGCUCCCAAGCUUUGCUGAUAUUAAAUCCAGCUCAAUAAGAUAUUCCCCAUGGAAUAUCAAGGCUCUAAUUGAAUCUCAGGGGGUUCUGGGCCCGUUCACAAACAGCCUUUGAGUUGGUUUUUUGUGUUCCUGACGUCAGCCCAAAGGCUUGAUUGAAUUAUGGCCUGGGAUUGCAGCAGCACCUGCUCUGAAGAGUCCGGCAGCAUUUCCAGGAUAAACCUCAGUGGGAAGUUUGUGGCUGGAAUACAAACUUCCAACCCUGGAAUAUUUGGGAUUAAUGAAAUUACCCACAGCAGAUUCGUUUCUCUGGGGUUUACAGGGAAACAAAGAGGUUGGGACAGAGCCAAGCGCUGUAAUUCCGGUGCCACGGGGCCGUUUUGGGGUGGAUUUGGGUUGGUUGGAUACUUUGAGGAAAUCCUUGGUCUUGUUGGAUAAACACAGCAAAAUUCCCUUUUCCUAAAAUGAGCUUUUCUGUAAACACAGCCCAGCAGAGAGUUCAUUUAUCAACCGGCGCCUUAGCGGAUGGACAUCGGUU